CAGUAGCCGCGGUAAUACGUAGGUGGCAAGCGUUGUCCGGAAUUAUUGGGCGUAAAGCGCGCGCAGGCGGCCUUUUAAGUCUGAUGUGAAAGCCCCCGGCUCAACCGGGGAGGGUCAUUGGAAACUGGAAGGCUUGAGUACAGAAGAGAAGAGUGGAAUUCCAUGUGUAGCGGUGAAAUGCGUAGAGAUGUGGAGGAACACCAGUGGCGAAGGCGACUCUUUGGUCUGUAACUGACGCUGAGGCGCGAAAGCGUGGGGAGCAAACAGGAUUAGAUACCCCUGUAGUCCCUGUCUCUUAUAC
rnacentral:rRNA from 1 species